rnacentral:rRNA from 1 species
GACAGAGGGUGCAAACGUUGUUCGGAAUUACUGGGCGUAAAGCGUGUGUAGGCGGUUCUCUAAGUCGGCUGUGAAAUCCCUGGGCUCAACCCAGGAAGUGCACUCGAAACUGGAGGGCUAGAGUAUCGGAGAGGUUGGUGGAAUUCUUGGUGUAGAGGUGAAAUUCGUAGAUAUCGAGAGGAACACCGGUGGCGAAGGCGGCCAACUGGACGAAUACUGACGCUGAGACACGAAAGCGUGGGGAGCAAACAGG